GCAAGUCUAUCAUGGGAAGAUUUUAGAAGAAAAAAGUCAACAAUCAUCGGCUCUCUCCCCCCCGCUUUUUUUUAAAUGUCGUAAUAUUUCCUUUUGAUAAUGGGCCGAGAGAAUUCCUUGAAGAAUUUGUAGCCACACGGUUCCUUGUCUAUUAAGUUGAUGGGUUCAAAUAGCUAAUUGAGGGUCUUCCGUGUGAGAGAAUGGGAGUUUUUACGAUUGAUGGUAAUGGUUUGGGUGGAAUAGUUCCAAUGUAGUGGGUGGUAGUAAAUGUAGUACAGGGUGAUUUAGUGGUGGAUGGCAUGUUCGCCGGAGGAUUCAUUAUUGGUCGGAGAGUGGGGAAGGUGGGAGGAGAGUGGAGAGAGGAAAGAGGUGAGACUAAAUAAUUAUUCAAUGUUUUGUAACAGGAGUUUUGGAGGAGUACUUUCACAUUCACUAAUUUAUGCUAUGAUUCCUCGAGAGGAAUCAUUUAAAGCAAUAGAGAAAAGCUUGUAGUGUCUUUAGAAAUAGAUUGUGAAGAGUAGUUCCAGGGAUUGGCAGUGGGGGGAUAGUUGGUGGCCAUGGAGGUUGGAGCUCAAGGCUAGGGAUUAGGGGUAAGAGGCAGGGGGCAAAGAAAGAGCUGGGUAUAGAAAGAUCAUUUUCCAGUAUGAUUUUCAUUUAGACAUACUGCACUUUUCACAUCUCCCUCAAAUCCAAGGCCUUCAAUUCAUCGCACUGCAGUUUGUAUAUGUUUCUUGGGCCAAGUCUCCUUAAAGUACUUUCUUCGUGAUGUGUAUGAGGAUCUGAUUCAGAUGUUAGUGGAUUUAUCUUCUGGGGAGAAUAUAUUUGUUACACAACCAUGUCGAGAUAAUACAUUAUAUCUUCUAAGGCUUAUUGAUGACAUGCUUAUAGCUGAACUUGACCAUCAGUUGCCGAUUCUAGCGACUGUCUUUGACUUUUCUCUCAACUCCACGGAACUGGAGCUUUACAUCUCUGCCUUACAUGAUGUUUUGCAAGGAGAAUCUGAUGACUGGACAGCAAGGUACUUCCAUCUCUUUCCUCAUUCUCCG